rnacentral:rRNA from 1 species
UGAGGAAUAUUGGUCAAUGGGCGAGAGCCUGAACCAGCCAAAUCGCGUGAAGGAAGACUGCCUUAUGGGUUGUAAACUUCUUUUAUACAGGAAUAAAAAAGGGGACGUGUCCCUUAUUGCAUGUACUGUAUGAAUAAGCAUCGGCUAACUCCGUGCCAGCAGCCGCGGUAAUACGGAGGAUGCGAGCGUUAUCCGGAUUUAUUGGGUUUAAAGGGUGCGCAGGCGGGCUUUUAAGUCAGCGGUGAAAUCUCGGGGCUUAACUCCGAAACUGCCGUUGAAACUGGGAGUCUUGAGUAUGGAUGAAGUAGGCGGAAUUCGUUGUGUAGCGGUGGCAUGCUUAGAUAUAACGAGGAACUCCGAUUGCGUAGGCAGCUUACUAAGCCAUAACUGACGCUCAAGCACGAAAGCGUGGGGAUCAAACAGGAUUAGAUACCCUGGUAGUCCACGCCGUAAACGAUGAUUACUAGUUGUAUGCGAUAUACCGUAUGUGACUAAGCGAAAAGCGAUAAGUAAUCCACCUGGGGAGUACGCCGGCAACGGUGAAACUUAAAUGAAUUGACGGGGUCAUAGCUGUUUCCUG